GGCAUUGAGUGCUUGCACUCUUUGGACGUCGACCGGCGCACGGGUGAGUAACGCGUAUCCAACCUUCCCAUUACUGUGGGAUAACCUGCCGAAAGGCAGACUAAUACCGCAUAGUCUUCGAUGACGGCAUCAGAUUUGAAGUAAAGAUUUAUCGGUAAUGGAUGGGGAUGCGUCUGAUUAGCUUGUUGGCGGGGUAACGGCCCACCAAGGCUACGAUCAGUAGGGGUUCUGAGAGGAAGGUCCCCCACAUUGGAACUGAGACACGGUCCAAACUCCUACGGGAGGCAGCAGUGAGGAAUAUUGGUCAAUGGACGGAAGUCUGAACCAGCCAAGUAGCGUGCAGGAUGACGGCCCUAUGGGUUGUAAACUGCUUUUGUAUGGGGAUAAAGUUAGGGACGUGUCCCUAUUUGCAGGUACCAUACGAAUAAGGACCGGCUAAUUCCGUGCCAGCAGCCGCGGUAAUACGGAAGGUCCAGGCGUUAUCCGGAUUUAUUGGGUUUAAAGGGAGCGUAGGCUGGAGAUUAAGUGUGUUGUGAAAUGUAGACGCUCAACGUCUGAAUUGCAGCGCAUACUGGUUUCCUUGAGUACGCACAACGUUGGCGGAAUUCGUCGUGUAGCGGUGAAAUGCUUAGAUAUGACG
rnacentral:rRNA from 1 species